rnacentral:rRNA from 1 species
UACGAAGGGUGCAAGCGUUAAUCGGAAUUACUGGGCGUAAAGCGUGCGUAGGCGGUUUCUUAAGUCCGUUGUGAAAGCCCUGGGCUCAACCUGGGAACUGCGAUGGAUACUGAGGAGCUGGAGUACGGUAGAGGAAGGUGGAAUUCCCGGUGUAGCGGUGAAAUGCGUAGAGAUCGGGAGGAACACCGGUGGCGAAGGCGGGUCUCUGGGCAGUAACUGACGCUGAGGAGCGAAAGCGUGGGGAGCGAACAGG